GGGGGAGGGGGGAUUAGAGCGGGUGAGCGUCUAGCUUCCUAUCAGGCAGGGAGACCCAGGGACGCAUGAUCGCACCUAUCCUGGCUACAGUGGAGGACUUUCCCCUCCGUGAUGCCCUCAAAACGACCCUGAAAUAGGUGGGUGCCAUUUUAUGGGUGAGGAAACUGAGGCUCAAGGAGGCUACGUGGGAGAAGCCGAAGAUGUGGAAGGCAAAGUUCAGAGAGGGAACUUGACUUGUCUGAGGUCACACUGCAUGGGAUUGGCUGAGCUGGAAUUGGAACCCAGGUAUUCUGGACUCCAGAGGUGUUUAGCCAGGGCCCCUCACCUGACCACGCCCUCUGCCGCCCACAGCAGG
ensembl:lncRNA